GUAGAGGUGAAGAACAGUAAGGUCUCCCCUGAGCCUCCUCCUCUCCAGGCUGAACAAUCCCAAUUCCUUCAGCCGCUCUUCACAAGUCUUGUGCUCCAGACCCCUCACCAGCUUCACUGCUACUCUCUGGACAUGCUCCAGGACCUCGAUGUCUUUCAUGUAGUGAGGUACCCAAAACCAAACACAGUACUCAAGUUGCAGCCUCACCAGUGCCAAGUACAGAGGAACAAUCACUUCCCUGAUCCUGCUGACUACACUAUUUCUGAUGCAAGCCAAGAUCUCACUGGUCUUCUUAGCCACCUGGGCACAAUGCUGACUCAUGUUACAAGUAAUACCCGUAGAUUCCCCCCCCCAUUGCUGCGGAGACCAGUCUCGGAGCAGGCGUUCUACGGUCCUCCCAGAACUGAAGUUUGUAUCCUCUGGUUUAUGGAAAAUUUUGUGCCUGUGGCAACCGAAAUGAGUGGAAGGAGAAGCGCUGUUAUUUUCUGUGGAAGCAUUUUCUGGAAACCAGAUAUGAGGGGUUUUUUAUUUCAAAAUAAAUUGAUAAAACAGAUAUAAAAACAAUGCAGAGUAAUAUAGAAUGGUAUUAUUGUCAGUCUGACAGGUAAACAAGGUUUCUCAACAACUUAUUCAUUAUUCAGUAUUAUUGCUGCAACUCACUGAAGUAAUUUUAUCUUCUUGCUCUUAAAUACAUAGUCUUGAGAAGAACAAUCCAAAUUCUUAACUGUAUCGUCAAAAUGCUUGUAUGCAAAUGAAGGAAAAGAAUAUCAUAAGGAUUAGUCAACAUGGAUUCACCAAGGGGAAGUAAAUUCCCUUCCUCCCUUCCUCCCUCCCUUCCUUCCUUCCUUUCUCCCUUCCUCCCUUCCUCCCUUCCUUCCCUCAGUCACAGCCUCUAAGAAGAACUACAUAUGCAUACAUAUAUAGGCAUGUGUAUACACUAAUACGUACUUCCAACCUCCUUCAAGUUUUUUUUCUAAAUGAAUUUAUAAUCCACUAGAAUAACCCCAACAGCAAAAUUGUAUUAAACAAGUUGUGUAAAUCAAGUGAACGUUUACAGUACAGUUCAGUCAUAUAUAACCCAUUACAAUAAUAUUUAAUAAAAUGGAGAUUAUGAAACAAAAGGGCAAAACUGGGCAGUCGACAGAUGGAGGGAGCAGCAGGAGAGGCAACAUUAGCAUUCCGCAAGUCAACUUGGCAACAGUAAGUUAAUACUAGUAAGUCAAUGGAUCAACAGGCGACAGAAGGGCAUUCAGGCUUUCAACAAUACCUGACUGUACAUUCAAUUAUUGCAAUUUAGAACUUUCUCUCUUUCAUAUCUAUCUUAGUAAUUAGAUUUUUUUUUUUUUUUUUUUUUAGGAAUAAUGAUAUUUCUUUCAGGCUAGCAGCCUAUGGAUAAGUAUUUCAAAAACUAACACAGAGAACCUUGUCAAUACAUCCCAAUCAUGAUUUAAAAUGUAUAAAAUCAUGACAGUGAAAUAAUUUGUAGAAUUACAAGGGGUGGUAGAACAUUCUAUGGUGUAGCUGUAUAGCAACCUAUCCCAAACAAACCUAAAAAUGCCCCAAUUCUGUUGUAAUUCUGUUAAUCCAUUUUAUAUAUUUGAAUAUAUUAGCCAGGUGUUUGGGAAAUUUAUCAUUUAGCUGUUGUGUUUUAACACUGAUAGACGACUAAUUUGCAGCCAGGCACUUUCUCAUUUCUCCUCCUCAGAAGGAUGGAAGGAGUAGAAAAUGAUAGGAAAGUACUUGUGGGUUUAAGAUAGUGCCACAGUUUUAUGAUUUCUGGUUAUCGGUAUUCCACAUCAUAACAUCACAUAGUGCACUGGGAGUUAAAGAGUUAAUGCUCCAGUUCCAUGGAUCGUGGAUAGUUCCGGGUUCCUGGUUCUCAGAAGAGAGGAGGAACUACAUUUCCCAGAGGAUUCCUUGCUGUUCUGUUACCAUUUUCCAUUCAGAGGGAAAGAUAAAAACUGUUCAUAUAUCAUGAGACAUCCCUUUUUUACUUGCUCCCUUCCUGCUCAUCCCGGCAGCAUCUCUCUCCCUAGCUGUCUUGCCACCAGCAUUAGAGUAAGGCCUUUUGUUUUUUUUUGGACACUCUCUCUCAUUUUAUUUGAUUUAUUAGCUUCAAUUCCAAUUAUAUUGUAUUAUAUUAUAUGUCUUUCAACCUUUUUCAACCUAGAAGACUAUUUGUCAAUAAAUAUAUCAAAAUGUCCA